CUCGUACUGGGAUUAUACUGGGGUCCUACUGGUCAAACUGGGGUCAUACUGGGAUCCCAUUGUGGUCGUACUGGGGUCAUACUGGGGUCCUACUGGUCAAACUGGGAUCAUAAUGGGGACCCACUGUGGCCCAGGUGGUCAUACUGGGGUUAUACUGGGGUUAUACUGGGAUCCCAUUGGUCGAACUGGGGUCAUACUGGGAUUAUACUGGGAUCCCAUUGGUCAAACUGGGGUCAUACUGGGAUUAUUCUGGGAUCCCGUUGGUCGAACUGGGGUCAUACUGGGAUCAUACUGGGAUCCCAUUGGUCGAACUGGGGUCAUAAUGGGGUUAUACUGGGAUCCCGUUGGUCGAACUGGGGUCAUACUGGGGUUAUACUGGGAUCCCAUUGGUCGAACUGGGGUUAUACUGGGAUCCCAUUGGUCGAACUGGGGUUAUACUGGGAUCCCAUUGGUCGAACUGGGGUCAUACUGGGAUCGUACUGGGAUCCUACUGGGGUCAUAAUGGGAUGGUGCUGGGAUCAUACUGGCAUCACAAUGGGAUUGUACUGGGACCAUACUGGGAUCAUACUGGGAUCAUACUGAGAUCUUACUGGGCCGGUACUGGGACCAUACUGGGAUGGUACUGGGAUCAUAUUGGGAUGGUGCUGGGAUGGUACUGGGAUCCUACUGGGAUGAUACUAGGAUGGUGCUAGGCCGGUACUGGGAUCAUACUGGGAUUAUACUGGGAUCAUAUUGGGAUGGCACUGGGAUCAUACUGGGAUGGUACUGGGAUCAUACUGGGAUGGUACUGGGAUCUUACUGGGAUCGUAAUGGGAUGGUGCUGGCAUCGUACUGGGACCCUACUGGGACAGUGCUGGGAUCGUACUGGGAUGGUAUUGGGAUGGUGCUGGGACCCUACUGGGAUGGCACUGGGCCGGUACUGGGAUCCUAGUGGGCCGGUCGGGGUGUGUCGCAGGGAAGUACGUGGGCAGCCGGCCCAUCAAGCUGCGCAAGAGCAUGUGGAAGGAGCGCAACCUGGACGUGGUGCGCAAGAAGCAGCGCGAGAAGAAGAAGCUGGGC
rnacentral:lncRNA from 1 species